rnacentral:tRNA from 1 species
GCCCAAGUGGCUCAGUGGUAGAGCAUCUUCUUGGUAAGAAGAGGGUCGUGGGUUCAAUUCCCACCUUGGGCU